rnacentral:rRNA from 1 species
GAUGAACGCUGGCGGCGUGCCUAAUACAUGCAAGUCGAGCGAACAGACGCGGAGCUUGCUCCUCUGAUGUUAGCGGCGGACGGGUGAGUAACACGUGGAUAACCUACCUAUAAGACUGGGAUAACUUCGGGAAACCGGAGCUAAUACCGGAUAACAUGUUGAACCGCAUGGUUCAACAGUGAAAGACGGUCUUGCUGUCACUUAUAGAUGGAUCCGCGCGGCAUUAGCUAGUUGGUAAGGUAACGGCUUACCAAGGCAACGAUGCGUAGCCGACGUGAGAGGGUGGUCGGCCGCCCUGGAACUGGGCCACGGUCCAGACUCCUACGGGAGGCAGCAGUAGGGAAUCUUCCGCAAUGGGCGAAAGCCUGACGGAGCAACGCCGCGUGAGUUAAGAAGGUCUUCGGAUCGUAAAACUCUGUUAUUAGGGAAGAACAAAUGUGUAAGUAACUAUGCACGUCUUGACGGUACCUAAUCAGAAAGCAACGGCUAACUACGUG